rnacentral:rRNA from 1 species
UACAGGGGGUGGCAAACGUUGCUCGGAAUCAUUGGGCGUAAGCGCACGUAGGCGGUUCGUUAUGUCGGAUGUGAAGGCCCUUGGCUUAACCGAGGAAGUGCAUCCGAAACUGGCGAGCUAGAGUACUAAAGAGGAUCGCGGAAUUCCCGGUGUAGAGGUGAAAUUCGUAGAUAGUCGGGAGGAACACCGGUGGCGAAGGCGGCGAUCUGGGUAGAUACGUGACGCUGAGGUGCGAAAGCGUGGG